rnacentral:lncRNA from 1 species
GACCAUGUUGGUGAUCUUGGAGAUGAGGUAGGGAUCUAGGGAAUAGCGGGAAGCUAGGGUUUUGGCGGAGCAGCCGUGAGCGAGGCGGGAGAGGACCAUGGCGACGGCGUAGUCGGCGGGGAGGGAGAGGUUGGAGGCGGCGAUGAAAGGUUGAAGCUUUUCGACGACGGUGGUGAAGACGGGGUAGGAGAGGCCGUAGAGGGAGCGCCAGCGGGCGUCGCGGAGGGGGGCGUCGAGGGCCCAGAUGUGGUCGUUGGCGAGGGCGCGGAAGGAGGCGACGGAGUAGUCGCCGUCGGGGAGAGGGGGAGGAGGGGAGGGGGAUUGGGAUUGGGAGGAGGAGGAGGAUCUGGCGACGGAGAGGAAGGAGAGGAGAGAUGCGAGGGUGAAGAAGAGGAGAGGCGCGGCGGAGGAGGAUGAGAGGAGGGAGGAAGGGGUGGUGGGAGAGGGUGAAGAGGUGGAGGCGGAGGAGGAGGAGGAGAAGAUGGUGCUUGUUGGGUCAAGGGAGUUUUGGAGGUGGAGGAGGUGGGAGAGCAUCGCCAUGAAAGCUUCUUCCAUCUUCACUCUCUUCUCCGAUGAGGAACGAAGUAAACUAAAGGUUUGGGCUUUUAUUAAUUACAGAGCUGUUUGUAAUAUAAUAUUCUAUAACUAUCCGAAAGUAUAUAUAUUUUUUUUUUUUUUGUCAUCUGGUAGAUUUAUAUUAACUUGAAAUGGGAGUACACAAAGCCAGCAAAGGUGAUUAAACCUUUCUGGAGCCAUAAGCCGGGGAGGUGAUGAACACCAUCCGGAGGCACAGAUUGAUACAAAUUUGAAACUAGAAACUAGACUAGAAGAUGAAAGCACAUAAGAGGAGGAUGGUUAAGAUACAUGAGACUGCAACAAUGGUGAAAUUGACUGGAUACGGACGAUGAUUAGAGAGUGAGAUCAGUGCACACCUAAUUAACUGAGUUUCAAGGUAGUAUCCAAGAGCGCUUCCAUCAGUGAAACCCGCUCCAGCACCACACAAAGAACUACCGGAAACUCAAUCACAAUUAACACACGCUGAGAAGAACAAAGAAGUAGACUGGAGGAACAAGAACAUCACCAAAACAUAAACUGAAUCGCGAGAGGUUAGAAUCCUUAACCGUAGCUGAACACACUAAAGGUUGAAGCUUUUCGACGACGGUGGUGAAGACGGGGUAGGAGAGGCCGUAGAGGGAGCGCCAGCGGGCGUCGCGGAGGGGGGCGUCGAGGGCCCAGAUGUGGUCGUUGGCGAGGGCGCGGAAGGAGGCGACGGAGUAGUCGCUGGAUAAAAACCACUCGAAAUCCAAGACUAAAACGAUCACCUCGGCGGAAAUCGACCAACAAUGAAGCAUUUGUACUGUUACACAGCUAUCUCCUUCUGAUCCUCUCAGAGCUAAAGAAUCGCA